GAUCCAGACUCCUACGGGAGGCAGCAGUGGGGAAUAUUGCACAAUGGGCGCAAGCCUGAUGCAGCCAUGCCGCGUGUAUGAAGAAGGCCUUCGGGUUGUAAAGUACUUUCAGCGGGGAGGAAGGUGUUGAGGUUAAUAACCACAGCAAUUGACGUUACCCGCAGAAGAAGCACCGGCUAACUCCGUGCCAGCAGCCGCGGUAAUACGGAGGGUGCAAGCGUUAAUCGGAAUUACUGGGCGUAAAGCGCACGCAGGCGGUCUGUCAAGUCGGAUGUGAAAUCCCCGGGCUCAACCUGGGAACUGCAUUCGAAACUGGCAGGCUGGAGUCUUGUAGAGGGGGGUAGAAUUCCAGGUGUAGCGGUGAAAUGCGUAGAGAUCUGGAGGAAUACCGGUGGCGAAGGCGACCCCCUGGACAAAGACUGACGCUCAGGUGCGAAAGCGUGGGGAGCAAACAGGAUUAGAUACCCCUGUA
rnacentral:rRNA from 1 species